AUUGAACGCUGGCGGCAGGCCUAACACAUGCAAGUCGAGCGGAUGAAGGGAGCUUGCUCCUGGAUUCAGCGGCGGACGGGCGAGUAAUGCCUAGGAAUCUGCCUGGUAGCGGGGGAUAACGUCCGGAAACGGGCGCUCAUACCGCAUUCGUCCUGAGGGAGAAAGUGGGGGAUCUUCGGACCUCCCGACCUCACAUGAGCCUAGGUCGGAUUAGCUAGUUGGUGGGGUAAAGGCCUACCAAGGCGACGAUCCGUAACUGGUCUGAGAGGAUGAGCAGUCACACUGGAACUGAGACACGGUCCAGACUCCUACGGGAGGCAGCAGUGGGGAAUAUUGGACAAUGGGCGAAAGCCUGAUCCAGCCAUGCCGCGUGUGUGAAGAAGGUCUUCGGAUUGUAAAGCACUUUUAGUUGGGAAGAAGAGCAGUAAGUUAAUACCUUGCUGUUUUGACGGUACCAAAAGAAUAAGCACCGGCUAACUUCGUG
rnacentral:rRNA from 1 species